AUGGGGGUGAGGUAAUAAUAAUAUAGGUUGCGGUCUUCAAAACACAUAGGGCAUUUGGUGUGACCCCAUUAUCGAUAUCUCCUCUCCUCUCCUUACCUCACCCUUCCCUUGCGUUCUUCAAUUCAGUUCUGGCCAGAAGCUGCCCCCUUCUCCUCCUCACUUCUUCUAUCCCACACUCCGUCUGGUGCACAAAGAUCUUCAAGCGCUUCAAGAUUCAGAAGGCUGGAAGAUGGUUAAGGUGAGAUGGGGGAAAGAGGUCUGAAAUAAAAAGGGAAUACGAUUUAUGUAUGGAAUCCGGUAAAAUACCGAUAUUGUGUGAUAUCUCGAACGACUGUGUUGUUGGGGAGUGAGCCAUUGUUUAUCGAUGAUCUCACCCAAAGAGCCGAGGCACAAAGGAGGAAGCAAAGCAUUCACACAGGAUCAUACAACAAAGAAGUGGACACUUUGAUUUGCGAGAGUUGGAUGGAGAUAGGCCAAGAUCCCAAGACCGGUGAAACAAAAGGGAUCCGUCUUUUGGAUGAGAUUUCAUACAACCUUUCAUGAACGGAGGAAGUUUGCGCCCUGCAAGUUUGCAAGCAACCAUGGCAUCAAAUCAAUCCAAAAGAGAUGAGGGUUCGUUCAACAAGAAUGCAACAAGUAUUGCGCUGCGCUUGAGAGCGUCGAAGCCCGUCCUGUGAGUGGCCUAGGCGUGGGUGACUUGGCAUUCCAAUAUUUGGAAGCCUUCAAGGCCUGGCAUAAGAACAAGCCAUUCACUCUCACCCAUUGUUGGUCGCUCAUCAAAGAUUGUCACAAGUUCAAAGAUCAAUAUGCCACUCUAAAGAAGAAAGAAGGGCCGGCGACCGUGGCUGGGAAUGGAGACGUGCUCAAGAGGCCGAGGGCAAGACCAACUCGUUGCUUGACGAGAAGCGUGAUGCGACAUCUAUUGCCUUGCAAGAAACUUUGCACGGCAGGACGACUCAAAAGGAAGUGAGGGGGGAGAGGAAGCGCGAAGGAAAUGAAGAUAAAGUUGGAGCUCCAAAUGAAGAAGCUUGACAUGGAGGAGGCCGCCAAGAGGAGGAAGCUCGCGAUCGAGGCCACCAAUGCCGACACCAAAGCAAAAGAGGCGGUGCUAGCAAUCAUGAGCGUGAACUUGACCAACACGUCCCCGAAGAGAAGAAUUUGGUCAGCGAACCGGCAAAAGGAGAUGUUCGACCAAGACAUCCUGAACUAGGGAGGCCUCGGCCGUGGACUAUGGCUGUUCUUUUUGAAGGUUGACAAGUGUGCAUGCCGGUGACUUUAUUGCCAGCGAGAAAAUUUGUUCAUUUUGAAGGCUGGCUAGUGUGUUGUCCAUUGCCUUUGUUGCCGGCGUGAAAACUUGAGGGUUGACCAUUUUGUAGGUUGGCAUAUGUUUGCCGGCCGCUGGCUUUGUUGGCGGCAUGAACUAUGCCCGUUGGCUUGAACUACGACCGUGAUGGACAAAAAUGCAUUUGUAAAAUUAUUCAGGCGGCCGGACCAGAUGUGUCUGCGCGUUGGGCGCAUGACGAGCGCAUCUAGACCCGAUGGCACCCCAUUCGUUUGGUGUUGUAUAUUGCUCUAAGAGCACGUAAAUUGCGCUUGUACCCUUUUCAACAAAUAACGUUUUCACCGAGGAGUUCUCAAUUAGAAAGAGCAGUGUUUUACGGACGACAGAUUCAUGCACGAUUCACAAACGACAAGUCAUCUAGACCAUUAGAUUUCUUCUUUUUCUAAUCUGCGUGGCUUCCAAUCAUGAUGUGCACAAAUCGUGCAUCAACAAAUCGUGUGUACAGCAGUUUCGAUUAGAAAUUUUCAAAAAUACGCAACAUGCAAAUAAGGCCAACUCUAGCGCACGACCUCAAAUGGACGUCCGUUUUACCCUGCUUUCGUCAUUUUGGGGCGGUAAUGAGGUCGCCCAUGUCCGGAUCGGGCCGUUGCCGUGUCGGUGCGCCCAACGCGUAGCCGCACCCCAUAUCAUGUCUGGGGUGGACAAGAUAAAAAAAAAUCACAAAAUUCAA